ensembl:miRNA Gm24824 predicted gene, 24824
AUAGAAAUAUAAGCCGGGCAGUGGUGGCACACACCUUUAAUCCCAGGACUUGGGAGGCCGAGGCAGGUGGGUUUCUGA